GCAGUCAGAGGCGAUGAAGGACGUGCUAAUCUGCGAAAAGCGUCGGUAAGGUGAUAUGAACCGUUAUAACCGGCGAUGUCCGAAUGGGGAAACCCAGUGCAAUUCGUUGCACUAUCGUUAACUGAAUACAUAGGUUAACGAGGCGAACCGGGGGAACUGAAACAUCUAAGUACCCCGAGGAAAAGAAAUCAACCGAGAUUCCCCCAGUAGCGGCGAGCGAACGGGGAGCAGCCCAGAGUCUGAAUCAGCUUGUGUGUUAGUGGAACGGUCUGGAAAGUCCGACGGUACAGGGUGAUAGUCCCGUACACCAAAAUGCACAGGUUGUGAACUCGAAGAGUAGGGCGGGACACGUGGUAUCCUGUCUGAAUAUGGGGGGACCAUCCUCCAAGGCUAAAUACUCCUGACUGACCGAUAGUGAACCAGUACCGUGAGGGAAAGGCGAAAAGAACCCCGGCGAGGGGAGUGAAAAAGAACCUGAAACCGUGUACGUACAAGCAGUGGGAGCACCUUCGGGUGUGACUGCGUACCUUUUGUAUAAUGGGUCAGCGACUUAUAUUCUGUAGCAAGGUUAACCGUAUAGGGGAGCCGCAGGGAAACCGAGUCUUAACUGGGCGUUAAGUUGCAGGGUAUAGACCCGAAACCCGGUGAUCUAGCCAUGGGCAGGUUGAAGGUUGGGUAACACUAACUGGAGGACCGAACCGACUAAUGUUGAAAAAUUAGCGGAUGACUUGUGGCUGGGGGUGAAAGGCCAAUCAAACCGGGAGAUAGCUGGUUCUCCCCGAAAGCUAUUUAGGUAGCGCCUCGUGAACUCAUCUUCGGGGGUAGAGCACUGUUUCGGCUAGGGGGUCAUCCCGACUUACCAACCCGAUGCAAACUACGAAUACCGAAGAAUGUUAUCACGGGAGACACACGGCGGGUGCUAACGUCCGUCGUGAAGAGGGAAACAACCCAGACCGCCAGCUAAGGUCCCAAAGUCAUGGUUAAGUGGGAAACGAUGUGGGAAGGCACAGACAGCCAGGAUGUUGGCUUAGAAGCAGCCAUCAUUUAAAGAAAGCGUAAUAGCUCACUGGUCGAGUCGGCCUGCGCGGAAGAUGUAACGGGGCUAAACCAUGCACCGAAGCUGCGGCAGCGACACUAUGUGUUGUUGGGUAGGGGAGCGUUCUGUAAGCCUGCGAAGGUGUGCUGUGAGGCAUGCUGGAGGUAUCAGAAGUGCGAAUGCUGACAUAAGUAACGAUAAAGCGGGUGAAAAGCCCGCUCGCCGGAAGACCAAGGGUUCCUGUCCAACGUUAAUCGGGGCAGGGUGAGUCGACCCCUAAGGCGAGGCCGAAAGGCGUAGUCGAUGGGAAACAGGUUAAUAUUCCUGUACUUGGUGUUACUGCGAAGGGGGGACGGAGAAGGCUAUGUUAGCCGGGCGACGGUUGUCCCGGUUUAAGCAUGUAGGCUGAUUGUCCAGGCAAAUCCGGAUAAUCAAGGCUGAGGUGUGAUGACGAGGCACUACGGUGCUGAAGUAACAAAUGCCCUGCUUCCAGGAAAAGCCUCUAAGCAUCAGGUAACAUCAAAUCGUACCCCAAACCGACACAGGUGGUCAGGUAGAGAAUACCAAGGCGCUUGAGAGAACUCGGGUGAAGGAACUAGGCAAAAUGGUGCCGUAACUUCGGGAGAAGGCACGCUGGUGUGUAGGUGAAGUCCCUGCGGAUGGAGCUGAGACCAGUCGAAGAUACCAGCUGGCUGCAACUGUUUAUUAAAAACACAGCACUGUGCAAACACGAAAGUGGACGUAUACGGUGUGACGCCUGCCCGGUGCCGGAAGGUUAAUUGAUGGGGUUAUCCGUAAGGAGAAGCUCUUGAUCGAAGCCCCGGUAAACGGCGGCCGUAACUAUAACGGUCCUAAGGUAGCGAAAUUCCUUGUCGGGUAAGUUCCGACCUGCACGAAUGGCGUAAUGAUGGCCAGGCUGUCUCCACCCGAGACUCAGUGAAAUUGAACUCGCUGUGAAGAUGCAGUGUACCCGCGGCAAGACGGAAAGACCCCGUGAACCUUUACUAUAGCUUGACACUGAACAUUGAGCCUUGAUGUGUAGGAUAGGUGGGAGGCUUUGAAGCGUGGACGCCAGUCUGCGUGGAGCCAACCUUGAAAUACCACCCUUUAAUGUUUGAUGUUCUAACGUUGGCCCCUGACCGGGGUUGCGGACAGUGUCUGGUGGGUAGUUUGACUGGGGCGGUCUCCUCCCAAAGCGUAACGGAGGAGCACGAAGGUUAGCUAAUCCUGGUCGGACAUCAGGAGGUUAGUGCAAUGGCAUAAGCUAGCUUGACUGCGAGCGUGACGGCGCGAGCAGGUGCGAAAGCAGGUCAUAGUGAUCCGGUGGUUCUGAAUGGAAGGGCCAUCGCUCAACGGAUAAAAGGUACUCCGGGGAUAACAGGCUGAUACCGCCCAAGAGUUCAUAUCGACGGCGGUGUUUGGCACCUCGAUGUCGGCUCAUCACAUCCUGGGGCUGAAGUAGGUCCCAAGGGUAUGGCUGUUCGCCAUUUAAAGUGGUACGCGAGCUGGGUUUAGAACGUCGUGAGACAGUUCGGUCCCUAUCUGCCGUGGGCGCUGGAGAAUUGAGGGGGGCUGCUCCUAGUACGAGAGGACCGGAGUGGACGCAUCACUGGUGUUCGGGUUGUCAUGCCAAUGGCACUGCCCGGUAGCUAAAUGCGGAAGAGAUAAGUGCUGAAAGCAUCUAAGCACGAAACUUGCCCCGAGAUGAGUUCUCCCUGAGACUUUAAGUCUCCUGAAGGAACGUUGAAGACGACGACGUUGAUAGGCCGGGUGUGUAAGCGCAGCGAUGCGUUGAGCUAACCGGUACUAAUGAACCGUGAGGCUUAACCUUACAACGCCGAAG
rnacentral:rRNA from 1 species